rnacentral:lncRNA from 1 species
CUCCAAUUUCACAAGACAUAUUCUUGAAUCCAUUCAUAAAUAAACCAAACAAUUCAAAUAAAUUUUUCUUUAAUUUGAAAAAGAAAUAAAAUAUAGCAAUUGCAUUAUCAAAACUUAAAUUGGCAUGGUGACUUCAAACGUUGCACUUAAUUAUGGUGUUAGAACAUAAAAUUCAGUAGGAUUUAUUGACAUACAUGUAG